AGCUUUGCGCAGUGACAGCAUCAUAACCCAUGAGGUUAAACCGAGGCGUGAUUAUUGCUAGUUGAAAACUUUUCCUAAUACCCUGCUGCACUAGCUUGAAAAAGUCGGUGUUUGCAAUUUUUGUCAGUCUCUGGAGA
rnacentral:snRNA from 1 species